GUGAAACACACGGAAAAUAAAGACGGAGCACAGAUAGCAGCGUUAGCUUUUCCUUUGUUAGAAAGUGGUUUGAAGACGGAUUUGGCGUUUUAGAGUUUAAAGAAAUCAUCGCCAGGUCCGAGGAAGAGAUGGAUGAUCAGCACAGACUGCUGGUUUUCACCCGGACACCCCAGAUAAUCUUAUACCAAAUAGAUCUCUCACGAUGCCUUGUAGUUAAAGAAGAGGAGGAGGUUCCCGUUCAGCUCAAUAACCAGGAUGAGAAUUCCACUUUAGAUCAAGAGGAACCAGAACCUCUGGGGAUAAAACAGGAGGAAGAGGAACCGGAACAUCAACAAUUCAAAGAGAAUCAACUCUGCGUCAGUCAGGAUGAAGAGCAGCUUGUGCAAAAACAGGACACUGAUUCUCCCCUAGUUGAGAAUCGGGAUCAAGAAGAAAUUGAUUCUGAAAAUCAAGGAAAAACUAGAGAUGAUCAGAAACAACAUGAGAUAUGUCAGACGACCAAACAGCAGAAAGGGACUCUCCCAGGCCACAGUUUGUAUUCCUGUGAAGUUUGUGAUAAAAUAUUUUCUGGACAAAAGGGUUUCACAAUACAUAUGAGAAAUCACAUGCGUGAGAAGACGCAUGGAUGUACAACCUGUGGAAAACGUUACUAUAGCAGAAGUGGUUUAAAUCUGCACAUGAGAGCCCACACAGGGGAAAAACCAUUCACAUGUGCAACCUGUGGAAAAAGCUAUGGUAGCAGGGUUUCUUUAAAUUUUCAUAUGAGAACUCACACAGGGGAAAGGCGGUUCAAAUGUGUUGUUUGUGGAAAAGAUUUCCGUCAAAGUUCAGCUUUACAUACUCACAUGAGAACUCACUCAGAUCAGAAGCCUUAUUCAUGCACAACCUGUGGGAAAAGGUUUUCUAAUAAAAGCGUGUUAAAUUCUCACAUUAUAAUUCAUACAGGUGAGAAACGUUACUCGUGUAUUGCUUGCGGAAAACGUUUUAGUCAGAAAAGUCAGUUACGGUAUCACAUGAUGACUCACACAGGUGAGAAACCCGUUUCAUGCAUGACUUGUGGAAAAACGUUCACUCAUAAAGGUAAUUUAUCUGAGCACAUCAAAACUCACACAGGUGAGAAGCCUUUUUCAUGUUCUACUUGUGGGAAAUGUUUCAGUCACAAAAGCCUUUUAAGAAAUCACAUGAGAAGGCACACAGGUGAGAGGCCUUUUUCAUGUACCACCUGUGGAAAGACUUACAGUGAGAGAAGUGGUUUAGCUUAUCAUGUCAAAACUCACACAGCUGAGAGACCCUUCUCCUGUGUGACUUGUAAGGCAAGUUUCCGAAAACAAUCCUUUUUAACAAAUCACAUGAAAAUUCACACAGUUGAGAAGACUUUCUCAUGUGUGACCUGUGGAAAAACUUUCACUCAGAAAUGUGAAUUGACUAUUCACAAGAAAACUCAUAGGGAUGAGGGGCCUUUCUUAUGUGCGAUAUGUGGUAAAAGUUUCCGUGGCAAAAGUAGUUUAAAUUACCACAUGAAAAAUCACGCAGAGGAAAAGCCUUUCUCAUGUGUGACCUGCGGAAAAGGGUUUCUUAGGAAGUCUCAUUUAAUAUGUCACAUGAGGAGUCACACAGGGGAGAAGCCUUUCUCAUGCAUGACCUGUGGAAAAAGUUUCUCUGUGAAAUGUAACUUAACUUUUCACAUGAAGACUCAUACAAAUGAGAAGCCUUUCUCAUGUGCAACCUGUGGUAAAGGUUACCAUAAUAAAAGUAGUUUCAAUUACCACAUGAGAAAUCACACAGAGGAAAAGCCAUUCCCGUGUGUGACCUGUGGAAAAGGAUUUGUUCAUAAUUCUCAUUUAAUUUUGCACAUGAGAAGUCACACAGGGGAGAAGCCUUUCACAUGCACAAUAUGUGAGAAAAGCUAUGCCAUAAAAAGCAGGUUAACUGUUCACAUGAAGACUCAUACAGGUUAGGAGCCAUUUUUCUGCUUGUUCUGUUAAGAAGCUUUCCAGCAGAAAUGUCCUUUACUACGUCACCCAAAUGUGAGACAAAGUGAUGAAAACUAGAAAUAUCAAAUUAGUAAAUUUUUGUUUAGAGAGGGGAAUGAUUUCAUGAAGACUCGUAGAGAUGAGAAGCCUGUAUGAAUUACAAACAAUGUAUUCAAAUAAUAAGUUUAGCUGAAAUACUUUAUGAAAUUCAUCAUUUUUGGGAGUUUUACUUUAACAUUUAAAGUUAUUUUUUUCAGUGAGAUUGUCAGUGUCUUCAUAAAAUUGUUUUGAAUGCAUUUUUUUUUAAAGAACAAUGCAUUUCAAUGCUUUUACUUUCAGACUGCAGUGAAUUUUUUAAACUUGGACUUUUGUUAUAGCUGCAUAUGUGAAAUAGAAUCACUCAUAGCUAUGUGCAUAUGAGAAUACACAGAUACAAAUGAGUAAAGGCAAAAAGGUUUGUUGUUCCUUUGCUGUACUUUAAAUAUUUUGUGAUUUUUGUUAGCGGAUACAUGUUCAAAUGCACAGAGUAGUAGGCUACACAUGAUUUCCCUUUAUUUGGAUUAAUAUUUUCUAAAAUUGAAUCUAGAUAACAUGAAUGCAUUUACAAGUAUUGACUUGACUGAACUGAAUAUGAAAUCACUUUUAUGUUUUGUAGUUUAGUAAUUUUGUAGAACAGUUUUCUUUGACAUUCAAUUGUUUUCUUUUUUUGACAGAAAAGCCAAAUUUAGUCAUGAUUUGUAAGACAAUAAAAGAGUAAAACAUCCAAGGGGGUGAAGUACUUUAUAUACUUUUGGUGUUCAGAAAUUGCUCUUUUUUUCCAUAGGUUAAUCUUAAAAUUUAGUUUUUUGGCAAAAUAUACUUAUUUUUUCUGCCUACAAUAACAUUAACAUGCCUUUGUAUUGAUGUGAAAGCGGGACGCCUCCAUUUCUUCCCAGAUGUCUGACUGUGACAUCCGAUCUUCCUUAUCCUCACACUAAGACUGCAGGAGGAUUAGAAACAUCAUUUCGUUCAAAGCGGAACUAAAAGUCUGUUUAGUGUUCCUUCAGUGGAGCCACCGUGAAACACAGGAAAUUAAAACAGCCCAGAUAGCUGCGUUAGUUUUCUUCAGUUUUAAUGUUGUUUGUAGACGGGUUUGGUGUAUUUGGCAAAUAUUUGAGUGUUUGCAGUAACUCUGUCCUCACUUUAGUCCCAGAGAGAGUUAAUCAACGAGCAGCUAACUGCUGCUGAAGAAACUUUAACGGACUUUUAUAAAAUCAUCGUCCAGUCCGAGGAAGAGAUGGAUGAUUAUCGCAGACUGCUGUUCUCCCGGAUUCCCCUGAUAAUCUUACACCGUAUAGAUCGCCCACGAAGCUGUGUGUGUAAAGAGGAGGUUCUCAAAGAGUUCAACAACCAGAAGAGGAAUCCCACUUUAGAUAAAAAGGAACCAGAACCUUUUAAAAUAAAAUUGGACUCAGAGGAACCAGAACAUCAACAGUUCAAAGAGGAAGAGAAUCAGCUCUGCUUCAGUCAAGACGAAGAGCAGCUUGUGCUGAAACAGGAGACUGGAGACAUUUUGGUGACUCCUUCUAAUGAGCAAAGAAUCAACAGUGAAACAGAACCAAACCGGAACCAACUCGUCUCUCAUGCUUCUCCUGAAGAUGAGGACCAGGUUGAGGAAGGAAGCAAUUCUGAAGACUCAGGAGAAAAGAGAGACAAAGAGCAGAAGCAAAACAAGAGAUGUCAGAAAAACAUACGGCAAAAAGGAACUAAUGAAGGUCCAAAACAAAAAAAUCGCAAAAAAUCUCACCAAAAAAAAAAAUUAUAUCCUUGUAAAGUUUGUGAUAAAAUCUUUUCCCGAAAAGACUCUUUGACGUGUCACACGAGGAUUCACACAGGUGAGAAGCCUUUCACAUGUAUUAGUUGUGGGAAGAGUUUCACUCAGAAAAGUAAUAUAGCUACUCACAUGAGGUGUCACACAGGUGAGAAACCUUUCCCAUGUAUGACUUGUGGAAAACGUUUUACCCAUAGAAAGAGGUUAUAUAUUCACAUGAGGAGUCACACUGGUGAGAAACCUUUCACAUGUAUUAGUUGUGGGAAGAGUUUUACUAAAAAAUGUAGUUUAACUAUCCACAUGAGGAUUCACACAGGUGAGACACCUUUCCCAUGUAUGACUUGUGGAAAACGUUUUAC